rnacentral:rRNA from 1 species
UACAGAGGUCUCAAGCGUUGUUCGGAUUCAUUGGGCGUAAAGGGUGCGUAGGCGGCGCGGUAAGUCGGGUGUGAAAUCUCGGAGCUUAACUCCGAAACUGCGUUCGAUACUGCCGUGCUUGAGGACUGGAGAGGAGACUGGAAUUUACGGUGUAGCGGUGAAAUGCGUAGAUAUCGUAAGGAAGACCAGUGGCGAAGGCGGGUCUCUGGACAGUUCCUGACGCUGAGGCACGAAGGCCAGGGGAGCAAACGGG